GUUCAUAUGUAAUAUGGCUGACAGUGUUGACAACGUGUGCAGUCAUUAACAAGUGGUAUACAUUAUCAAUACUAAAUAGAUAUCUCAUGCCGUAUACUAUUAUCAAGUUUUGUUUUGGUUACAUUGGAUGUCGUCUACUACAGUGAACUGAGCGGUUCAAACUGUUAGCCAUUCACGCUAUUGUUGUACAUAUAAUGGUGAGAUAUUACUAAAUAGUUUUCUCAUGUUGUAUCAAGCAAUGGAUAUGUUAGACAUCGGGUCGUCUACUACAGUGAACUGAGCGGUUCAAACUUACUAAAUAUAUCUCAUGCCGUAUUGACUACUCAACGAUAUAUCAAGUAAUGGAUAUAUUAGAUAUUGGAUGUCGUCGACUAGUGAACUAAGCGGUUAAAUUGCAAACUGUAAUUAGUUGUUAGAACC